UACGGAGGGGGCUAGCGUUGUUCGGAAUUACUGGGCGUAAAGCGCUCGUAGGCGGCUUUGUAAGUUAGAGGUGAAAGCCCAGGGCUCAACCCUGGAAUUGCCUUUAAGACUGCAUCGCUUGAACAUCGGAGAGGUAAGUGGAAUUCCGAGUGUAGAGGUGAAAUUCGUAGAUAUUCGGAAGAACACCAGUGGCGAAGGCGACUUACUGGACGAUUGUUGACGCUGAGGUGCGAAAGCGUGGGGAGCAAACAGG
rnacentral:rRNA from 1 species